AACGAACGCUGGCGGCAGGCUUAACACAUGCAAGUCGAACGGUUGUAGCAAUACAGCAGUGGCAGACGGGUGAGUAACACGUGGGAACCUUCCUAGGGGUACGGAACAACUCAGGGAAACUUGAGCUAAUACCGUAUACGUCCGUGAGGAGAAAGAUUUAUCGCCCUUAGACGGGCCCGCGUAGGAUUAGGUAGUUGGUGGGGUAAUGGCCUACCAAGCCUACGAUCCUUAGCUGAUCUGAGAGGANGAUCAGCCACACUGGGACUGAGACACGGCCCAGACUCCUACGGGAGGCAGCAGUGGGGAAUCUUGGACAAUGGGCGCAAGCCUGAUCCAGCCAUGCCGCGUGAGUGAAGAAGGCC
rnacentral:rRNA from 1 species